UGCAGUCGUGGGGCAGCAGGCCGGUUCCUUCGGGAACUGGUGCUGGCGACCGGCGAACGGGUGAGUAACGCGUGAGCAACCUACCCCGAGGAGGGGGAUAACCCGGGGAAACCCGGGCUAAUACCCCAUAAGCGCACGGUCCGCAUGGGCUGUGUGAAAAGGGUGGCCUCUGCUUAGCAAGCUGCCGCCUCGGGAUGGGCUCGCGUCCCAUCAGGUAGUUGGUGGGGUAACGGCCUACCAAGCCUACGACGGGUAGCCGGCCUGAGAGGGUGGUCGGCCACACCGGGACUGAGACACGGCCCGGACUCCUACGGGAGGCAGCAGUGGGGAAUCUUGGGCAAUGGGCGCAAGCCUGACCCAGCGACGCCGAGUGGAGGAAGAAGCCCUUCGGGGUGUAAACUCCUGUCGCCGGGGACGAUGCGGGGAUGGGUUAAGAGCCUAUCCUCGUGACGGUACCCGGAGAGGAAGGGACGGCUAACUACGUGCCAGCAGCCGCGGUAAUACGUAGGUCCCGAGCGUUGCGCGAAAUUACUGGGCGUAAAGAGCGCGUAGGCGG
rnacentral:rRNA from 1 species